AACGAACGCUGGCGGCAUGCCUAACACAUGCAAGUCGAACGAGACCUUCGGGUCUAGUGGCGCACGGGUGCGUAACGCGUGGGAACCUGCCCUUAGGUUCGGAAUAACUCCCCGAAAGGGGUGCUAAUACCGGAUAAUGUCUUCGGACCAAUGCUUUAUCGCCUUUGGAUGGGGCCGCGUUGGAUUAGCUAGUGGGUAGGGUAAAAGCCUACCAAGGCGACGAUCCAGAGCUGGUCUGAGAGGAUGAUCAGCCACACUGGGACUGAGACACGGCCCAGACUCCUACGGGAGGCAGCAGUGGGGAAUAUUGGAGAAUGGGCGAAAGCCUGAUCCAGCAAGGCCGGGUGAGUGAUGAAGGCCUUAGGGUUGUAAAGCUCUUGUACCCGGGAUGAUAAUGACAGUACCGGGAGAAUAAGCUCCGGCUAACUCCGUG
rnacentral:rRNA from 1 species